AAGUCGUAACAAGGUUUCCGUAGGUGAACCUGCGGAAGGAUCAUUAGUGAAUAUUAGGGCGUCCAACUUAACUUGGAGCCCGAACUCUCACUUUCUAACCCUGUGCAUCUGUUUCUGGUCAGUAGCUCUCUCGGGAGUGAACGCCAUUCACUUAAAACACAAAGUCUAUGAAUGUAUAAAAUUUAUAACAAAACAAAACUUUCAACAACGGAUCUCUUGGCUCUC
rnacentral:misc_RNA from 1 species